rnacentral:rRNA from 1 species
AGUCGAACGCGAAAGUUCCCUUCGGGGAACAAGUAGAGUGGCGCACGGGUGAGUAACACGUAGGUAAUCUACCUUCGGGCGGGGAAUAACAACCGGAAACGGUUGCUAAUACCGCAUAAUGCAGCGGCACCUAAUGGUGACAGUUGUUAAAGCGGGGGAUCGCAAGACCUCGCACCUGAAGAGGAGCCUGCGGCGGAUUAGCUAGUUGGUAGGGUAAUGGCCUACCAAGGCGACGAUCCGUAGCCGGCCUGAGAGGGCGGUCGGCCACACUGACACUGACAUACGGGUCAGACUCCUACGGGAGGCAGCAGUCGGGAAUUUUGGGCAAUGGGCGAAAGCCUGACCCAGCAACGCCGCGUGAAGGAUGAGAUCCCUCGGGAUGUAAACUUCGCAAGAACGGGGAGAAUAAGUCUAAGCGAAUAACUUAGGCGAUGACGGUACCGUUUGUAAGCUCCGGCUAACUCCGUGCCAGCAGCCGCGGUAAUACGGGGGGAGCAAGCGUUGUUCGGAUUUACUGGGCGUAAAGGGCGCGUAGGCGGCCACCGCAAGUCAAUUGUGAAAUCUCCGGGCUUAACUCGGAAAGGUCAACUGAUACUGCGGGGCUAGAGUGCGGAAGGGGCAACUGGAAUUCUCGGUGUAGCGGUGAAAUGCGUAGAUAUCGAGAGGAACACCUGCGGCGAAGGCGGGUUGCUGGGCCGACACUGACGCUGAGGCGCGAAAGCCAGGGGAGCGAACGGGAUUAGAUACCCCGGUAGUCCUGGCCUUAAACGAUGAAUGCUUGGUGUCUGGGGUUUUAUAGUCCCCGGGUGCCGUCGCUAACGCUUUAAGCAUUCCGCCUGGGGAGUACGGUCGCAAGACUGAAACUCAAAGGAAUUGACGGGGACCCGCACAAGCGGUGGAGCAUGUGGUUUAAUUCGAC